AUGUUCCCUAAUAACCCUAGAAGAAUGUUUCUUCUGUUAUUCCCAUUUAAUAGAUGCCAAAGCUAUGAAAAGAAAGGUAGCUAUUUGUCCAAGUUCACCGAGCUGGAUAGUGGCAGAGCUGGGAUGGAACAAGGGCUACCUCUCACCAGAGGCAAAGAUCUUCACCACCAUGUGAGAAGGCCUCCCACAGUGGAUUCACCCCGGCAAGUUUAUCCUGAAUGGCUGCCUCACUCUCUGUGAAGAGCCAUGUGCCUGGACAGUUCCUCUCAUUUCUCCUGAUCAGCAGAAAUUGCUCUCGGCUCUCCUAAGAUGUCACCAGCCUUUAGUGAGCUCACGUUCAGCAGUCAAGCAGGCAGUGAAGACCUGAAAGGGUGGGCAUGAAGAGUUGGAGGAUGGGUGCUGACUUGUUAUGUGGCUGAGGAUCUGUGGAAUUCUCAUCUGUCAUGCCAGGCCACCCACAGUUAUUAAAAGACCAUUACAGGUUAGUCUGGCUUCUCCUUACUCUUAUCUAUGGUCUGGCCUUUUCUUCUGCAGCUCCAUGAGGGAGGAGAAUAGCUGUGGGUCCAGUGUAGUUAUGAAGAGAUCUUUGCUUUCUAGAAUUAAUGUCAUUUAGCUAUUUUUGUGUUCUUUGUCCUCUGAUGGGUUCUAAAUAAAAUAUGAUUUUGUAGCUUAUCCAGAGUAUUUUCACUGUUCAGGUAAAAGCAACAGUUUUUCAAGUCUCUACAAACUGAGCCUAAAUGGGUGUCUGCUACAAACUACUUGAUGUGAUCAACUCUGGGUCCAGUGUGUCACUGUCAUUCACCAAAGUUUGUCAUUCUGCUUUUUAAUUUUUUUCAAUAUACAUUGAUUUAUGCCUUACACACGCUCAGAGUCAUUGCUUGCAGGUUUUGUACUAUGCUUAGAAAAACCUUCCUUAGUUCUGGAUUACGUACAAGAAAACAUCCUCUCAUGUUUUCUAAUAGUACUUUAAUGUAUUUAUUUUUAGCAUAAAAUCUUUGGUCCAUCUGGAGUUUAUUUUAGCACUGCAAAUAAAGUAGAAAUACUAUUUUAUUUUUUUCCAGAUGGCUACUAAGUUGUCUUAACUCCAUUUAUGAACAUAGAAGAUGAACAGCAUUUUUACAUAUAAGAAAUUUUUAAACAUAUGAAAAUAUGUUCAACUACAGUCAAUUUUUUAAACUGCAAAUAAUAACUAUAGUUAAACAUUAUUUGGCAUUAUCUACCUAAAUUAAACAUAGACUUCCCUUUGAUCCAGCAAUUUUAUUUCUAGAAGAUUUGCCUUUGGAUGUUCUCACAUCUAUUUACAAAUACAUACAUGCAUAGAUAUUCAUCACUAUUUUUAUCAGUAAAUAGGGAAAAAAGUAAGUUCAAGUAAAAGUCUUCUAAGAUGAAUUAUUUUUUUUCAUAUAUCCACAAUAAAGGACUAUGAAACCUUUUUAUUAACAAAAGAAUCAGGCUAUACAGGCCCGCUAAGAUUUGAU
rnacentral:lncRNA from 1 species